rnacentral:rRNA from 1 species
CUUGACAUCCAGAGAUUUAGCAGAGAUGCUUUAGUGCCUUCGGGAACUCUGAGACAGGUGCUGCAUGGCUGUCGUCAGCUCGUGUUGUGAAAUGUUGGGUUAAGUCCGCAACGAGCGCAACCCUUAUCCUUUGUUGCCAGCACGUAAUGGUGGGAACUCAAAGGAGACUGCCGGUGAUAAACCGGAGGAAGGUGGGGAUGACGUCAAGUCAUCAUGGCCCUUACGAGUAGGGCUACACACGUGCUACAAUGGCGCAUACAAAGAGAAGCGACCUCGCGAGAGCAAGCGGACCUCAUAAAGUGCGUCGUAGUCCGGAUUGGAGUCUGCAACUCGACUCCAUGAAGUCGGAAUCGCUAGUAAUCGUAAAUCAGAAUGUUACGGUGAAUACGUUCCCGGGCCUUGUACACACCGCCCGCCACACCAUGGGAGUGGGUUGCAAAAGAAGUAGAUAGCUUAACCUUCGGGAGGGCGUUUACCACUUUGUGGUUCAUGACUGGGGUGAAGUCGUAACAAGGUAGGCGUAGUGCU